rnacentral:rRNA from 1 species
UGAACGCGAAGAACCUUACCAGUCCUUGACAUCCAACUGACCGACCAGUAACGUGGUCUUCUCUUCGGAGCAGUUGAGACAGGUGGUGCAUGGUUGUCGUCAGCUCGUGUCGUGAGAUGUUGGGUUAAGUCCCGCAACGAGCGCAACCCUCGCCCUGUGUUGCCAGCACGUCAUGGUGGGAACUCACGGGGGACCGCCGGGGUCAACUCGGAGGAAGGUGGGGAUGACGUCAGAUCAUCAUGCCCCUUACGUCCAGGGCUUCACGCAUGCUACAAUGGCCGGUACAACGGGAUGCGACACGGCGACGUGGAGCGGAUCCCUGAAAACCGGUCUCAGUUCGGAUUGGAGUCUGCAACCCGACUCCAUGAAGGCGGAGUCGCUAGUAAUCGCGGAUCAGCAACGCCGCGGUGAAUGCGUUCCCGGGUCUUGUACACACCG